rnacentral:misc_RNA from 1 species
GUGAAUCAUCGAAUCUUUGAACGCAAAUUGCGCUCUCUGGUAUUCCGGAGAGUAUGCCUGUUUGAGGGUCAGUUAUAUAAAAAACGGUGUUGUUGCUGCUUUUCGUGGUGACGCCUUUGCAUUGAGUUUUCUUACCUUCGUUUACGUCACUUAUAAUUUUGCAUGAUUUUCGACCGUAUUUAUA